rnacentral:lncRNA from 1 species
AAAUAUAUUAAAAAAUAGAUUCCCCUUGUAAUAAAAAUAAAAAUUACAUAAGGUAAAAGCAAACCCUAAUUAACCAUCGCGAAAGAGAAAGGCAUAAAGUAAUAGAGACCAGCUCCAAUGUGAUUUGGGUGGGCGAUUCAAGAGGCUAAGAGUUUGAAUUGUUACUUGUCUCAACAACUUUUAGAUUUUUCUUUUGUGUAAUCACAAUAUGACCUUAUUGAGUAAUUGAACACAAUGGCAAGAAUCUUCUUUCUAGAUAUAUGAUUCGGCAUCGACGAUUGAAGAGGCUAAGAGCUUGAAUGCAAUUCAGACCGCUCUUGAUCAUUUACAAUACCAGCUUGAGGUUUUGCAAGUAAGACUUUUUAUUUUUUUACCAUUUUUUGGUUUUUUAAGUGGGGGCUUUUGUAAUUUUUGCAUAAUGUUCGUCUGUUCUGGUUGUGUUUUGUUUUGUUUCAGAGAAAAUUGAGGGAGAAAGAUGAAAACUUUCAGUUUUAUCACAAGUAAAUUGGCUAAUUGUAUUGGUCAUCGAAAUAUUGCGAACGAGUUGUUCCAUGUACAUAAUUUAAUCAAAUUGUUAGCUGAUAACAAGAUGAUUGUUCAUGGCAAGUUCCUCUCCUUUAAAAUAGGUUAGGCAAAGUAAGUCAUCAUCAUAUGGAAGUUUGCAAUAGACUUUAAAAUGAGCCAGUCUUUGUUUAAUGAAAUAUUUAGUAUAGUAAAAUUUGCUAGAUGAAAAAAAUGAAAAAAAUUAAAAGGGAUAUUAUUGAUUUGCUAAAUUAAUUUAAUGACAUAAUUUCUGUAAAAUUCAAAGUUUGAACUCAGUCAUUUAUAAUUAUUUAUCUUGCUCUUCAUUUUCUUUAAUUCCUUUGUUCUUCAUUUGAGUUUCAUACGCCACAAUGCCUCAUUAGGUUGCUGAACAAGAUGAAUAAUUGGAUAACUAUGCAUGACAG